GGGCCACGCACCAUCGGCUCCCCUUCAUCCUCCCGCAGCCUCCCCGCCCUCCUUCCUCCCUCCCACUGUUUCCAUGGAUUUAUGGCCUUAAUGAGAGCAAUAUUCUGGCAUCUCCAACCUUGGUGUGACAACUGUGGGACAACCACGAUGCCAGCAGCCUUUCCACCCUCCUCUUGUCACAGCAGCCGAGUGGGGGCCCAGAGGGUGCCCUGGCCACACCAGGAGGGCUCAGCCCUGUCGCUGGUCCAUCACCCUGCAUGUGGCAGGGUGGAAAAGGGGCUCUUGUGCUCCUGGAUGCAGCCUUGGCUCUUCCUGCUGCCCUUAGUCUGUCACUAAAGGGGGUGGUGUCAGCACUGGGGCCCCAAGCAAGGGGUGACCACCCUGGCCAUGCCUGGGACUCACCAUCCCUGCUGGGGGUGCUCGGGGUUCAGAGCUUGUCCCUACAGGAUUUCUGGACAUCACCUUGCAGUGAGCUGGCAGCUCUUGCCUCAUCCCUGGCAGCUGCCCCAUCCUGCCUGACCACACCAGGGUAACCUCCACGACCCCCCGAGAUCAGGAAAAGCCAGAACACCUCAGUUUUCAUCAUUAUCAUCAUCAUUGCAAGAGAAGGGGUGAAGACAGUCACAGGAUGUGCUGUGGAACUGGUGGCGUGGGAGUGAUGAGCUGUCCCACCCUUUCUCUACAGGGCACCUCUCCCAGUUCCAGGUUUCUCCCUCUUUUUGGGAUGGGUCAUAAAAGGAUACCAGAUUUCCCCCUUUUUGUGGGCGGGUUAUGAGGAGAUUCCAGGUUUCCCCUAUGUUUUUUUUUGAGGGGAUGGAUUGCGAAGAUUUUCCAGGUUUCCCCCCCCCUCUUUUUUUUUUUUUUUUUUUGAAUGGGUCACAAAGUAUUUCCAGGUGUCCCAUUUUCUGGGGAAUGGGCUGUAAAGGGUUUCCAGCCAGAAGAGAGCUGCAGUGGCCGGUAUGUGGCAGCUCAGCCAUGGAAUGCUGACAGCCUGGGGACAAAUGUGACCGAGCUGGGAAGCUGCAACCCCCCAUUCCCCACAUCCACCACGUCCCCGGGAGGGCUCCACCACCUCAUCCCCACCCCUGUCCCCCCUGGAUUUGGGGGUGCAAAGCAGCACUCACUGAAAGCUGUGAUGGCCGGAGCCGUGGAUCCUGAGGGAGCCGUGGAUUCCGAUGGAGCAGUGGAUCCCGAGGGAUUGGCAGUGCCAGUGGUGUCCUCCAAAAAUUCCUCCGUGAGACAGUCUUCACCACAUUUGGGAACAAAGGUGUACCCACAAACCCCACGAGACACCUUGUCCCCAGCUGUGAUGUCUCCAAGGUGCUUUUGGUGGAAACCCCAGGACUGACAGACAACUGCUGAUGCAAGAACACAUCCAGCAGGAUCAGCAACCCUGGCAGCAGCCAUGGAUCUCCACAUCCAUCCACAUCACCCCCUGAGGGGCCUCCCCCAUGCUCAGGCAGAAAGAGCAGACAACAAACACCACCAGGAAAUGUGUCACCUUCUUUAAUUAAAAAUAAAAAUACAGGGGAAUAUG